GACGAACGCUGGCGGCGUGCUUAACACAUGCAAGUCGAGCGGUAAGGCUCCUUCGGGGGUACACGAGCGGCGAACGGGUGAGUAACACGUGAGUAAUCUGCCCUUCACUUUGGGAUAAGCUUCGGAAACGGGGUCUAAUACCGGAUACGACACAGAUCCGCAUGGGUUCUGUGUGGAAACUUUUGUGGGUGGGGGAUGUGCUCGCGGCCUAUCAGCUUGUUGGUGGGGUAAUGGCCUACCAAGGCUUUGACGGGUAGCCGGCCUGAGAGGGUGACCGGCCACACUGGGACUGAGACACGGCCCAGACUCCUACGGGAGGCAGCAGUGGGGAAUAUUGGACAAUGGGCGGAAGCCUGAUCCAGCAACGCCGCGUGAGGGAUGACGGCCUUCGGGUUGUAAACCUCUUUCGUCAUCGACGAAGCCAUGCUUUCGCAUGGUGACGGUAGGUGGGGAAGAAGCACCGGCCAACUACGUGCCAGCCGCCGCCGUAACAC
rnacentral:rRNA from 1 species